rnacentral:rRNA from 1 species
GACGAACGCUGGCGGCGUGCCUAAUACAUGCAAGUCGAACGCAGUGGGGACGGGUGAGUAACACGUGGGUAACCUCCCAUCAGAGGGGAUAACCCUUGGAAACAGGUGCUAAUCCGAUACUGAUGGAUGGACCCGUGGUGCAUUAGCUAGUUGGUGAGGUAACGGCUCACCUAGGCCACGAUGCAUAGCCGACCUGAGAGGGUGAUCAGCCACACUGGGACUGAGACACGGCCCAGACUCCUACGGGAGGCAGCAGUGGGGAAUAUUCGGCAAUGGACGAAAGCCGGACCGAGCAACGCCGCGUGAGUGAAGAAGGUUUUCGGAUCGUAAAGCGCUGUUGGUCGAGAAGCGGUAUCUAACCAGAAAGCCAUGGCUAACUACGUGCCAGCAGCCGCGGUAAUAC